AGUGAGGCUGCGCAAAAGCUCGAAUUGGAAAUCUAGAACAAAAAGGGGUGUGAGAUGUAAGUUGAAGAUGGGAACCUUGGGUUUGGGUCUUGUCUAUGUUCCUUGUAACAGGACGUCAUAGAGGGGGAGAAUCCCGUCUGAUGAGAUGCCCAUUCCUAUGUAAGGUGCUAUCUAAGAGUCGAGAUGUUUGGGAAUGCAGCUCUAAGUGGGUGGUAAAUUCCAUCUAAAGCUAAAUAUUGGCGAGAGACCGAUAGCGAACAAGUACAGUGAUGGAAAGAUGAAAAGAACUUUGAAAAGAGAGUGAAAAAGUACGUGAAAUUGUUGAAAGGGAAGGGCAUUAGAUCAGACUUGGUGUUUUACGAUUAUCUUCUCUUCUUGAGUUGUGCACUCGUAUUUCACUGGGCCACCAUCGAUUCGGAUGGCAAGAUAAUGGCAGUUGAAUGUGGCUUCACUUCGGUGGAGUGUUAUAGCUUCUGCUGAUAUUGCCUGUCUGGAACGAGGGCUGCGUCUUUUUGACUAGGAUGCUGGCGUAAUGAUCUAAUGCCGCCCGUCUUGAAACAUGGACCAAGGGAGUCUAACGUCUAUGCGAGUGUUUGGGUGUAAAACCCGUACGCGUAAUGAAAAGUGAACGCACGAGAGAGCUCUUUUUUUUGAGUGCAUCAUCUACCGAUCCUGAUGUUUUCGGAUGGAUUUGAUCAGAACAAUCUGUUGCGUACCCGAAAGAUGCUGAACUAUGCCUGCAUAGGGUGAACCCGAGGACACUCUGGUGGAGGCUCGUCGCGGUCCUGACCUGCAAAUCGAUCGUCGGAUUUGGGUUACGGGGGGAACGACCUUACCUAACCAUCUGUAGCU
rnacentral:rRNA from 1 species